rnacentral:tRNA from 1 species
GGGCGCAUAGCUCAGUUGGUUAGAGCGCUGCCUUCACACGGCAGAGGUCCGAGGUUCGAGCCCUCGUGCGCCCACCA